rnacentral:lncRNA from 1 species
UACUUUCUCUCUCUAAAAUUUUCUCUCUCUAAGUUGUUUCUCUCUCUUGAUGGAUUUCUCCCUCUCUAAAGUUAUUCAUCUAGGAUUAGCGUAGUGGAAGGCUUCAUCUGAUGAUUUUGAUCGAGUUUAGGGAAGAGUCUGAUUUUAAGUGAGGUUUUAAUUUUGGGAUUUGUUAAAUUUAAUUUUGAAUUAAAAUUAAUAUAAAAAUAUAAUUUUGAAUAAUAGGCAUGAAAAAAUCUCUUAGAAGUUAAUCGAUAUAUUCAUUCAGUGCUCCGUGAAAGGUAAGUAAUGAAUCAUCAUCUCGAGAUAUUCCAUAUUUAUUCUGAAAAUAAAUAAUUAUUCUCUAAAAUUAUGCAUGAUUUAUGAAAUUAUGUUUUGAAAGAAAAGUGCUUUUGAAAUAUUAUGGUACGUCGAUUUAUGCACAUGUUCAGUGAAAAAUUAUGAUAUAUUAUGGUACAAAGUAUUUUGAUAUAGAUCAAAUUUAUGCUCUCAGCCUAACUAUGUUUCAGUGGGCCCCGCCAAUGGGGAUUAUACAUUGGUACUCAGUGGGGGUUGUGCACUGGUGUUUGUGGAUCCUGUCAGUGGGGGUUGUGCACUGGUAUUUGUGGACCCUGCCAGUGGGGGUUGUGCGCUGGUAUUCUGUGGACCCCGCCAAUGGGGGUUAAAUGUUGGUCAUAGUCGAGGCUGUUGAGUUACGAGUAUUUUGAAUCGAAUCGGAUUUAUGAUUAUAUUAUAUAUGAAUAUUUGAAAAUAUUUGAUUUAUAUUAAAUCAGCAUGAAAUAUACUCUUAUGUUUAUUUGCAACAUUAUUCUUAAAAAUUA